CAGUCGCCGCGGUAAUACGUAGGGUGCAAGCGUUAAUCGGAAUUACUGGGCGUAAAGCGUGCUCAGGCGGUUCUAUAAGACAGAUGUGAAAUCCCGGGCUCAACCUGGGAACUGCAUUUGUGACUGUAGAGCUGGAGUACGGCAGAGGGGGAUGGAAUUCCGCGUGUAGCAGUGAAAUGCGUUGAGAUCGGAAAGAACACCAACGGCGAAAGCACUCUGCUGGGCCGACACUGACACUGAGAGACGAAAGCUAGGGGAGCAAAUGGGAUUAGAUACCCGUGUAGUCCCUGUCUCUUAUACC
rnacentral:rRNA from 1 species